GAACUCUUGGCCUCAAGUGAUCUGCACACCUCAGCCUCUCAAAGUGCUGAGAUUACAAAUGUGAGCUACCGUACCAGGCCACAAAUGCCAGCUUUUUGAUGAGGCCUCCUGUGUUUCUGUCUAACGUUGCAACCCAUCCCAUCUCCCCAGCAGUUAUUGUCAAAUAGCGUAAGAUAUUUAUUCAUUUUGUUUCUUGCCUAUUUCCCCUCCCUGGAGGGUAAGUGCCAGGAGGGCAAGAUUUUUUCUGCUUUGCUCACUGCCCUUAAGACCUGCCUGGCCCCACAGUAGGGGUUCAUUAAAUAGCCGUUGAAUGAAUGAGAGACUUGUGGGGUGACAGACCAGUCAAAAAGCUGUCCCUGCAUCCAAUCCUGCCAUUUCCUGUCUGUCCCCACACAGACAGCCACAGGAUUUUUCUACAAACCAGAUUGCUCUCUUUCAGGUCUUAGGGUAGGUAUCACUUCCUCAGAAACCUUCUCUGGCCCCCUGUGCUGGGCAGCCCCUCUGUGUACUCUCAGGGUACCCUCCCCUCAUUCUGUAAUUGCCUGCAAUUGCCUAGUUCUGUAAUUGUCUUCUCCAGGACAGUGAGCUCUGGAGGGUGGGGACGCAUCUGUCUCCCUCCCUGUUGGGAGCUGGAAUGGUACGGUGGUUACAGGAGUGUACUACCUGGGUCCAAGUCCUGGCUAAGUCACGGGAAUUUAGGCAAAUUACUUAAGCUCCUUGGGCCUCAAGCUUUCUCAACUGUAAAAUGUGGAUCAUCACAGUUUCUCCCUCCUAGGGUUGGGGCAAGGAUGAAAUGAGCUAAUACAAACAAGGGAUGCUUGGCACAGGGUAAGUGCAAUGAGUGUCAGCUAUGAUUACUCUUACUCAGGGCCGUGUCCCCUGGCCUAGCUCAGAACCUGGCCCAUAUUCAACACUCAUAGUGUUUGUUAGAUGAAUGGAUGACUGUGUAUGGGGAUAGAGGGAUGAAGGAAUGGCAUGAGGACCUAGAGGGGGGCUCUAACCCAGCCUGGGGAGCAUUGGAGAAGCUUCCUGUGGGAAGGAAGCUUUCAGCUGACUCCUGCAGGAUGAGGCGUUGGCUGGGCACAGUGAGAGGGGGGCAUGUGAAGCAGGAGCAGCCAGUGGCCUGUGUGGGUGCCUCUCAGCAUGGGAAAACUGAGCUGUGCAGGAGCCACAGUUCAUUACUGAGUGGCUGAGCGGUUAGUGCCAAGAGCUCAGUGUCCCCUUUGUGGGCCAUUUUUAGGACAGUCUUAGGCUGGCCGCUCACCAAGGGUAAAAAGUCCCAUGGCGGCUCUCUCAUCUGAUCAGCAGCCCUCCAAGAUCAAGGGGAGGCACGCAGGGGAAAGGAGGCCACCCCUUGUUGAGGGACCCCAGGGGACAGGCCCGGGUCAACCUGGCAACCCAUUCCUGGCUGAGAUUAUGCCCAUCCCAGAGAUAAGGGGACAGAGGCCCCACACUCCCGAGGCAGUCAGGAGAAGAGGCAGAGCCCACUCAAGUCUGCCGACUCCCUGUGCCUUCCCUCAUCAGCCCAGGACUCCUCGUGGCCAGAGUGUGUCUCCCCCAUCACCCCAGAGAUACCUCAGUGGCUGACAUCACCCACUCCUGACUCCCCUCACAGGGCACUGACCAGGGAAAUCCCUGCAUGGGGUCUGGACUAAUGGAGAGUCAAGUGCAGGAAGAACUUUCCAUAAGGACUGGGGUAAAAGGCUGGGAAUUGGAGGAGAUCGGGGCUGGGGCUGCUGAAGGAAAAAAGACCGAUCCUGGGGACAGUUGGGGACACCUUACCCAAUUCCACCACCCCCACCCCUUAAUUCCUCACUCGUCUCAUCUGUUGACCUUCUCAUCUGCUGAUUCGGAGAUUCCUUACACCUGGGUUCUGGCCUCCACUGACUCUGAUGGCCCACAGCAGGUGCAGAGUCUAGUUUUUGCUCUAGCCACGGGGCCCACAGCUGGGGUGGCCGACGAUCAGGAGCUCAGGAUUCAAAUCCCCACCCUGCCACUUCUUAGCUGGGUCACCUUAGGAAGAGUUCGCCCCCUCUCUGAGCUUUCCUUAUCUGUAAGAAAUGACAGGUAAAUCUCUGCCUUGGAGGGUGGCUGGAGGACUGAGAGACAGAGGCUGUGCUAGCUCAUGGCCAGCUGUGAGUUGUGGUACUUGAUGGUUUGAUAAGCAGUUGAGGAAACUGGUUUGAAAGGGGUUAAAUGGAGACCCUGCCUCCCAGCCAGGAGCGAAUCAGGGCUGGCAGGGGAGGAGCCAGGCUGCUGCUAAGGAAAGAGAUCUAGAUGGGCCAGAUGCCGACUGGAGAGGGACGGGAGAAGACACCGUAGGGUUUGGGGGGCUUGGCACAGCGGCCCUGGCCCCUGCGCUGUGAUAGCUCCAAGCCAGAUGGUGCAGGGCAGCUGCUGGGCUGCGGGGAAGAGGGGCUGCACUUCCUGAGCUGGUGCAGCGGCAGAGUUGAUGGGGACCAGGACCCUGAACCCGCCUGGCCAUCCAAGGCGGGGGACACCAGCUGCACCCAGGCUGUGACCUCAGCUGACUCCGAUGAUCCACAUGGGAUGCAGGGUCUAAUUUUAGCUCCAGCCACAGGGGCCACAGUCCAGGAGUGUCUGCCAGCGGGCACAGGGGCAGCCAGGGCUGCUCAGGCAAGGGGAGGAGCGGGAAGACCAGCCCAGCUCCCUCCAGCCCGUCCCUGGCCAAGCCGCCCCUUGUGGGAGCUCUGACUGGUCCCCAUGGCCUGGCAGACAGCCUUCCUCUCAGUUGAGGGCAAGGUCAAGGGGUGCAGCCAGGAGGUCAGGGGGACACAGCCUUGCAUUCUGGACAGGGGUUGUGUCAGCCAGAGCAGUGCCCAGGGGCAGGGGCCCCUGCUGGGAGGGCAAAGGCUGGCUUGGUUGUCUAAACCAAGAAGGCAGUGUCCUGAGGGCAGGGGGGCCAGGCCAGCAAGCUGGGUCCCACCUGGCCUCCUCCUGCCUGGCUGGUGACUCACUGUCUGACCUUAGACAGGCAGCCUGGUCUCAAUGGGCCUCAGUCUUCCCAUCUGUACAAUGAGAGGGCAGGACUAGCAGGUGGGUCCCAGCUCUAGUCGCCCGCCCCAGGCCCUGCUCUUCCUGCUUGCUGGCAGAGGCCUCCCAGCUUCCCCAGCCCUGACUGUGGGUGGCCACAUGCAGUCGUGGAGGAGAAGAAAGUCCCUCUGGCUGGCACUGUCAGCCUCCUGGCUCCUGCUUGUCCUGCUGGGAGGCUUCUCCCUUCUCCGCCUGGCAUUGCCUCCCAGACCUCGGCCUGGGGCUCCCCAAGGCUGGCCGCGCUGGCUGGACGCAGAGCUCCUGCAGAGCUUCUCCCAGGCUGGAGAGCUCCCAGAAGAUGCCGCUUCACCUCAAGCCCCUCAUGGUGGCAGCUGCAACUGGGGAGCCUGCUUUGACACCUCGAAGUGCAGGGGCGAUGGCCUUAAGGUAUUCGUGUACCCAGCUUCUGGACCGAUCUCUGAGACUCACCACAGGAUCCUGGCUUCCAUUGAGGGCUCUCGCUUCCACACAUUCAGCCCUGCUGGGGCCUGCCUCCUUCUCCUCCUCAGCCUGGAUGCCCAGACUGGAGAGUGCAGCUCAAUGCCUCUGCAGUGGAACAGGGGCAGGAACCAUCUGGUCCUCCGUCUCCACCCAGCUCCCUGCCCCAAGACCUUCCAGCUGGGACAGGCUAUGGUAGCUGAGGCCAGCCCCACGGUGGACUCCUUCCGGCCUGGCUUUGAUGUGGCCCUCCCUUUUCUCCCUGAAGCCCACCCGUUGCGAGGUGGGGCUCCUGGCCAGCUGCAGCAACACAGCCCCCAGCCCGGGAUAGCCCUGCUAGCCCUGGAAGAGGAGAGGGGUGGGUGGCGCACAGCAGACACCGGCUCCUCUGCCUGCCCCUGGGAUGCACGCUGUGAGCAAGACCCUGGACCUGGGCAGACCCAGCGCGGGGAGACUCUGCCCAAUGCCACCUUCUGCCUCAUCUCUGGCCACCGUCCAGAAGCUGCCUCGCGCUUCCUCCAAGCCCUGCAGGCCGGCUGCAUCCCAGUGCUUCUCAGUCCCCGCUGGGAGCUGCCCUUCUCCGAGGUCAUCGACUGGACCAAGGCAGCCAUCGUAGCUGAUGAGAGGCUCCCGCUUCAGGUCCUGGCUGCCCUCCAGGAGAUGUCCCCUGCACGGGUCCUCGCCCUGCGUCAGCAGACCCAGUUUCUAUGGGAUGCCUACUUCUCCUCGGUGGAGAAGGUUAUCCAUACCACUCUGGAGGUUAUUCAGGACCGGAUCUUUGGAACAUCAGCUCACCCCUCGCUACUGUGGAACAGCCCCCCAGGGGCACUCCUGGCCCUGUCUACUUUUUCCACAAGCCCCCAGGACUUCCCCUUCUACCACCUGCAACAGGGCUCCCGCCCUGAGGGCAGAUUCAGCGCCCUGAUCUGGGUGGGGCCCCCAGGUCAGCCCCCUCUGAAGCUCAUCCAGGCGGUGGCAGGCUCCCAGCACUGUACCCAGAUCUUGGUUCUCUGGAGUAAUGAGAGGCCACUCCCAUCCAGUUGGCCGGAGACAGCCAUGCCCUUGACAGUCAUUGAUGGGCACAGGAAGGUUAGUGAUCGCUUCCUCCCAUACAGCACCAUCAGAACAGAUGCCAUCCUCAGCCUUGAUGCCCGCAGCAGUCUUUCCACAAGUGAGGUGGACUUUGCCUUUGUGGUGUGGCAGAGCUUCCCAGAGCGGAUGGUGGGCUUCCUGACGUCAAGCCAUUUCUGGGAUGAGGCCCAUGGUGGCUGGGGCUACACUGCUGAGAGGACCAACGAAUUCUCCAUGGUUCUCACCACAGCCGCCUUCUACCAUAGGUAUUACCACACUCUCUUCACCCACUCCCUGCCCAAGGCUCUGAGGACCCUGGCAGAUGAGGCACCCACCUGUGUGGACGUCCUGAUGAAUUUCCUAGUAGCGGCAGUCACCAAGCUGCCCCCUAUCAAGGUGCCCUAUGGCAAGCAGCGCCAGGAGGCUGCUCCACUGGCCUCUAGGGGCCCGGGGCCCGGGCCAAAGCCGCAGGCCCCAGCCCCCGACUGCAUCAACCAGAUAGCGGCAGCGUUCGGCCACAUGCCCUUGCUGUCCUCUCGUCUGCGUCUGGACCCGGUGCUGUUUAAGGACCCGGUGUCCGUGCAGCGCAAGAAGUACCGCAGCCUGGAGAAGCCCUAGGGGGUGACCCGCGGAGACCCCAGUGGAGGGCCUAGCCCAGCUCCCAGGGGAAGCGACACCUGCCUGCGGGCUCCGCCCUUGGGAUACAGAACCUAUCAUGGCAGCCAGCGGGCCCACACGUCGGAUCCCGGUUGGCCAGUCACAACCGGGGGGCGUGGCCUUACUUUCUCCCGCCCGCCCGCGCUCGGCCGCGGAGCCUCAGUGCAGGCUCAGCCCCGCGCCCGGAGCGCCGCUCUCCGCUUCUCCACCCAGCUAACUUCUGCUUGUGUUUCAGAGCAUUGCCUCCUCCAGGGACAUUGCCUGGCUCUCCUCCCCGCCCCCGAUGGGUUCGGUCUCCUUAGCGCUUUCGCAGCCCAGUGUUUGUCGCGGUUCCCGCAUGGUCAGGCCCCAGGACUGGCUUGCGAGCCCCGGGGGUCUGGUCUUUUCAUGUCCUUUUCUCUCUGGCUAGGCAGAUGUGCCGCAAAUAUUUGACGAAUAGAUGGAUGGCAGACAUUAACUGCGUGCCUGGCCCUAUGCGGGCGGCAGCGGGAUAGGGUGAGCGGAGAAACGGAACGGCCUCCCCACCCCAUUCCUAGGGUUCCUAGUCCCGGGAAGGUAGCUACCCAAAGACGCCUAGGUUGUCAGGUUCAAUCCUUGAGCCUCAGCCAAGGCGCAGAGGGGUGCGGGUAAACGAGGAGUGGGCGAGGAAAGCAGGACGGGAACAAGUGGCCGGCCCCUGUACGGCGCGCGCCGGCGGCGCAGUUUUGGCCGCCUGCCUUGCACUACCGACGCCGACCACUAGAGGUCAGCGCUGCACCGCACUCGUCACUCCCAUGGCCAUAGGGCGGCCGGGAUGUGGAGGGUGAGCGCUGUGGGCAGCUCGGGGGCUGAAAGCUGGGAAGAGGAAUCUGAAGAACAGCCCCAUCUCUUUGGCCUGCACACUUGGAACUCACUCCCUGCCUCUAUGUGAUGGGCAUUGCCCAGGGUUUGACAACACACAGUCGUAGGUUUGAAUCUGCCUCUACACCUUACCAGCUGUGUGACACUGUGCAAGUCACUGAACCUUUCUGAGCUACAGAAAACACUACCACCUCUCCCUUCAGGUUGGUGUGAAGAUCAGAAGUGCUGACACUUGGUAAGUAUUGGAUAAAUGUUCCUUUCCUUUCCCCACCCUUUUCCCCAGAACUGGGAGGGAGUCCUGAAAAGGACCCCCUGAAGAGAGGAUAUUCAGGUGGUCUACACUCCCCUGACACCCCCACCACUCUGUGUCCCA